rnacentral:lncRNA from 1 species
GAGAUGAUUGCUUAAUUAAUCUGUGUAUUGUGCUAAUGAGGAUGUUAAAUGGGUUCAUCCCUGAAUUUGAUUGUUCACAAAGAAUGUGAAUUUCCUAAAGGGCAAAUAUAGACAGAUUUUCUAUUAACAUGAACCAUCCAACCAAGAAGCUCUUUUAGUCAUUUUGAAGUUUAAAAGGGUAGCAGAUAAUUUCAAAAUAGCUUCAUGACAUUUCUAGUGGCUACAUGUGAGAUAUUAUUACCAUAUCUCCUGAAGCUGUUUGCCAGUUCCUUUGGGAAAGAAUUUUAUAUUACAAUUCUUAAAUAGAUACUGACUUUUAUUUUCUAUCAAGACUCCUCAGGGUGCAGCAUAAAUUAAACUUGUGGCACUUAUCUUUCACAAGCAGACUUUGGAGGGGUUGGGAAAUAGCAGAUGCCAAUAGUGUCAUCGUUCAGUCAAGAAUCCAUUAUGUUAAAAAACAUUCCAUACAGGUCAGCCAUGGUUGUGCAUGCCUGUAGUCCCAGCUAUUUGGAAGACCAAGGUGGGAGGAUCACUUCAGCCCAGGAAUUUGAGGCUGCAAAGAGCUAUGAUGGUGCCACUGCAUGCCAGCCUAAGUGACACAGCAAGACCUUGUCUCUAAAAUAAAUAAAUAAAUUCAUCCCAAAUGCAAUAUCAUUAAGCCAGAAGAAGAUAAUAGGGAUGGAUGGGGGAGUUGCAUGUGUGUGUUUAAAGAUCCCAGCAUACACAGAGGAAAGAAACUGGGCCCCUACCUGUUUGCCUAUCAGCCUCCUGGCGGGUAAGGAAUGUGAGGAGACAGUAUCUGGCAGUGGCGAAAGACAGAUCAUUUCCUACAAAUCCUGGAGGUGUUCGUUCACGUCCCUGUCUGGACCCAAGAUGGCGACACCUUUGCUUCAGAGUUUCUUUAGCUUGGUGUUUCUCUAAGGGGGACAGUUACCACUCCUAAAAGACCUUCUGGAAAAUCUGAAGGACUCUUUGUCACAUCAAUUGGAGGAGGUGCUACCACAUACAGUGUGUCGGUCAUGAAGAACGUGGAAGUCCCACAUUGGCCAAAGGAAAGCAGUCCAGCACAACAAAAGAAUUAUCCCAUAACCAGCAUCAUUUUGAAUGUCCCAACAGACACUAGACAGGUGAAAAAUUAGUUAUAAUAAUCUGAGUCUCACAGUCCCUGUCUGGGCCCAAGGUGUCUGUAAAACAGAGGUGCAAACUCCACUUGACAUAUAAACACAAAGCUUUUUGGGUUUUGGUUUUUUUGCACAAUCUAAAAUUUCCAGGGAUGCAAACUAUAUAAAUCAAAGGAAGAUUUAUAGUUUGUUUUAUCUGGAUCAUUACCAAGGUUGUUAAUCAUUAUGAAAUUCACAGCAACGUUGGCAAUGCUGCUCAUGGUAUUUGAGUUGCCAACAUAACACGUGACCAUCACAUUCACUAUAAUUCCGCUGAGAGGUGCUAACUUCUGCCUUCUUCACUACACUAGUGUGGUUGUGCUUGAGAGACUGCAUAUGGAGAUGCAGAUUAUUUUAUUGAAACUCCUUUUGUUUCCCCUUUAUAUUACAACUGGGACUUUAUACUGGUUUUUAAAAAUUAUGUAUAUAGGUAAAUUAUACUACUGAAAAGGAGUCUUAACAAAAUAUUUUUACAUAGCAGCACCAACUGCAAAUAUAUAUAUAUACACAUACACACACACACACAUAUAUAUAACAGAAAAGGGCAUAGUGCAUCUAACAGAAUUACAAACCAUCACUUGAGCACAUUCAUACACCGUUUGACUCCAGAGAGUCUAUUCUUUGCCUCUUAAACAUCUUCUCAUUCUGUAGGUUUCAGCUGCCGCUGCUCUUCCUCUAAAGAGCUCUGUGCUUCCUGUGCUCUGUACUGACACAUCACUCCAUCCCUUAUCAUAUGGGCUGUAAUUUCCCGUGCAACUGUCGUCUUCUUCCCUGGAAGGAAAGACCCCUUCCUGUGAGUUCUGAGAGAGCAGGAGCUACGUACAACUGCUUAUUACUCCACACCCAGUGCCCUGCACGUGGCGGAGCAUGCUAGUCCAUGCUCAACACCUGGUGAGUAAAUGAAUUGCAGAGAGCUGUAAGGGCAGGUGGGAC